CGCCAGUGAAGGAGAGAACGUGGCGUCGCCCACCGGGCGGGGCCUGAGCGGGCGCGGGGCGGGGCCUGAGCCGGCGCCGGGUCCAGCUGGGCGCUCCGCCAGCUGCGUAAACUCCACUGGAGCGCGGCGGUGGAGCAGGCAUUUGCAGCUGUGAGGAGGCAGCCAGAAGCAAGCUUUUGGAACUGAAGGAACCUGAGACAGAAGCUAGUCCCCACUCCGAAUUUUACUGAUGAAGAAGCUGAGGCCACAGAGCUAAAGUGACUUUUCCCAAGGUCGCCCAGAUGGAGAACCUGAGAGCAUCCCAAAGAGACGAUUACAGACUAAACUCUAUGGAGUAACUUGAUUAGGACCGAUCCCAUCUUCCAGUAAGGAGGCCCCUGAUGCCUCUGUAGCCAAUUCUGCAGACACUUGAGCCUCCAAGGCCUUCAGCCAAGACCUUUGGCGGUAAUUAGACGCUCGGGAUAAGCUGCUUCAGGGAGGACUGUGGGACUUCUCAGACAUCAGAAGAGUGAUGUGACGGAGCUGUGUGACCAUAGAAAGUGAUGUGUUAAAAACCAGUACCUCCCUCUUUGAAAGCCAGGGAUCGUUAUCGUUCAUCUAACCUGCUGGGAAGAAGAACCAGUUGUCCGGGAUCCAAACCUUUCUGCGGCCCCAAGUGUUUGUG